GAAGGGGGCUAGCGUUGCUCGGAAUUACUGGGCGUAAAGGGAGCGUAGGCGGACUGUUAAGUUAGAGGUGAAAGCCCAGGGCUCAACCUUGGAAUUGCUUUUGAUACUGGCAGUCUUGAGUUCGGAAGAGGUAUGUGGAACUCCGAGUGUAGAGGUGAAAUUCGUAGAUAUUCGGAAGAACACCAGUGGCGAAGGCGACAUACUGGUCCGUUACUGACGCUGAGGCUCGAAAGCGUGGGGAGCAAACAGGAUUAGAUACCCUGGUAGUCCACGCCGUAAACGAUGAGUGCUAGUUGUCGGCAUGCAUGCAUGUCGGUGACGCAGCUAACGCAUUAAGCACUCCGCCUGGGGAGUACGGUCGCAAGAUUA
rnacentral:rRNA from 1 species